rnacentral:lncRNA from 1 species
CGAAGAAUGUGGUAUGCGCUCAAGCGCACAGGAGUGGGUGGGCAUGCUCAGGCUAUGCUUCACUUCGUGACUCCUUCAGGUAAUGAGACCAGUGCUUGGCUAUUUCUGGGAUUAGGGAAAACAAAAUACACCCCCAAACUGGAGUACCAGCAGGUCAGACUGGACCCAAGAGAAGCACCCCUUUGGCAGUGGAGGUGGUAUUGAAAUGGUGGGUGUGACCUCACACUGAGAAUAAUGUCCCGGGGAGAUUGGUGCAGAAAGAAACGUCAAGCAGCCUAGGUGAGGUUUUAAAAAUGCAGUUAGUCAACCCCAAAUUGAUCUGUGUAGACAUGUGUUUUUUCUCAAUUAUAGGACUUCUUAGCUUAAAGUGGGCUCACUAUCUAGCUGUCUGAAUGUUCCAACACACAGAGAACCCAACAGGAAGUGAAAGAAAGAAAAGAAAAAGAAAGGAAGGAAGGAAAGAAAGGGAAGAAAGAAAGGAAAAGAAAAGAAAAGAAAAAGAAAAGAGAAGGUCCCACAGGAGCAGCCUAAAGGGCCUGUCCUGGCACUCACGUUUCUUCUGGGAGAAUCUCCACACCCCCACUCCCACUGUGGUCCCUGCCUUUCUGGGUUCAUUGAACUCUUGGAGCAGAAGUUCAUUCCUGCUGUGUGCCCAGGCCCCCAGACCUACCCCAUCAGAACCUCUAUGGUGGCCUCCUGGCCUCGGCAUUUGUGUCAAACCAUCUCGGUGAUUCUAUGCAGCUACACUUGAGAAGCCUUGACCGGAGCUUCCCGAGACCGCAUCUGUGUCCUGCUCCCAGCUAGUAUGUCACUGUACCACACCUGAUGUAGCAAGACUUUUACAUAGAAUUAUUGUUUACUUCAGGGGCACCUGGCGUGUGGAGCGUGUGACUCUUGAUCUCAGCGUUGUGAGUUUGGGCCCUAUGGUGGGUGUAGAGAUCACUUAAAAUCUGAGGGGCACCUGGGUGGCUCAGUUAAGCACCUGAUUCUUUUUUUUUUUUUUUUUUUAAGCAUCUGAUUCUUGACUUUGGCUUGAGUCAUGAUCUCAGGGUCCUAAGAUCAAGCCCUGUGCUGGACUCUGUGCUGGGUGUGGAGCCUGCUUAAGAUUCUCUCUCUCUUUCUCCCUCUGCCUCUCUCUGCUUGCACUAAAUAAAUAAACAAAUAAAUAAAUAAAUAAUCUGGAAAAAACCAACAACAUUGAAUUAUUACUUUUUUUCCUGUAACUCUUUUUUGCAUGGAGACUUUUUCUAGUUGGCAUACGUGAAGGACCUUUAUUUUUUUCAUUUUUAUUUUUUUAAAGAUUUUAUUUAUUCAUGAGAGACAGAGAGAGAGAGGCAGAGACACAGGCAGAGGGAGAAGCAGGCUCCAUGCAGGGAACCUGACAUGGGACUCGAUCCCAGGUCUCUAGGAUCACACCCUGAGCUGCAGGCGGCGCUAAACUGCUGCACCACCAGGGCUGCCCAGGACCUUUAUUUUUUAAUGACUAUGUAGUAUGAAUAUAGCACAAUUUACCUCCCCCUUCCACCUACAGAUGGAUUUCUCUAUCAUUUCCUGCUCUCCCCUGUUCUAAAUUACCACAGUGAAUAUCGUCAUACAUAUAUCUGUGCAUGUGUAAGCAUUUCUGUAAGACGAGUUUCCAGAAGGAAAUUCUGGGUCCUACAAUAUACACUUCUUUGUUUUAAGAUUUAUUUAUUUGAGAGAAAGAGAGAGAGAGUGAUCAUGACUCAGGGGCAGGAAGGUAGAGGGAGAAGCAGACUCCUAGCUGCAGGGAGCCCCAUGCAGGACUCCUGAGACCAUGACCUUAGCCAAAGGCAGAUGCUCAAUUGACUGGGCCCCCCAGGCUCCCAAGAACCUACACCUUCUAAAGCACUGCUAGAGGGGCACCUGGGGAGCUCAGUUGGUUGAGCGUCUCCCUUAAAAAAAAAAAAAGAUUUUAUUUAUUCAAGAGACAGAGAGAGAGGCAGAGACACAGGCAGAGGGAGAAGCAGGAUCCAUGCAGGGAGCCCGAUGUGGGGCUUGAUCCCAGGACCCUGGGAUCACACCCUGAGCCAAAGGCAGACGCUCAACCACUGAGCCACCCAGGUGCCCUGAGCACCUGACUCUUGAUUUUGGGUCAGAUCAUGGUCUCGUAGUCAUGACGUCAGCCCUGCUUUGGGCUCUGAGUUCAGGUUGGAGUCUGCAGGAGAUUCUUUCUCCCUCACCCUCUGACCCUUCCCCCCACUCAUGCUCUCUACCUCUUUCUCAAAUAAAUAAGAUCUUUAAAAUAACUUCAAGGGAUCCCUGGGUGGCGCAGCGGUUUAGCGCCUGCCUUUGCCCCAGGGCGCGAUCCUGGAGACCCGGGAUCGAAUCCCACGUCGGGCUCCCGGUGCAUGGACCUGCUGCUCCCUCUGCCUGUGUCUCUGCCUCUCUCUAUCUCUCUCUGUGACUAUCAUAAAUAAAUAAAAAUUAAAAAAAAAUUAAAAAAAUAAAAUAAAAUAACUUCAAAAGAAAGUAAAAAUUAAAGUGGCAAUGAUAUAUAUAUACAUGUAUGUUAUAUGUUACACUAUGUAUGUUACAUGUAACAUGCAUAUGUGCAUAUACAUUUGCACACCACAUUAACAACCAAACAGAAAUACUCCUGGGAAGCCUGGCUGGGUCAGUUGGUGGAGCGUGCAACUCUUGAUCUUGGGGUUGUGAGUUCGAGCCCCACAUUGGGUGUAGAGAUUAUUUAAAAA